rnacentral:tRNA from 1 species
UCCCUAGUGGCUCAGAUGGUUAAGAAUCUGCCUGUAAUGCAGGGGACCCAGGUUCAAUCCCUGGGUGGGGAA